GACCCCGGGCGUUCCUGCCGCACGGUAGAGUCCGGUUCGACCAGCAGGGGAAUCCGGUGACAAUCCGGAGCUGACGCGCAGCGGUAUGAGGUCUGACCUCGAAGCCCGAAUGCCUGCGGUCGUUGAACCGUCGAC
rnacentral:ncRNA from 2 species